rnacentral:lncRNA from 1 species
CAACAAUGAUAUGGCCUAAAACUCCAGAUAGUGUUUUAAGCCAUAUCAUUGUUGGCCCAAAACACUAUCUGGAAUUUUGGCAAUAUAAAAAAUGUGCCAUCGAAGGCAAGAAGAAUAAGCACUCGUGUACUUUCAGUUUUGGUUCUCGUUUCGCCAAAACUGAAACUUCUAUUUUUGGUCAGCAUUGGCCAAAACUGAAAUCAAUAAUUCAGUUGAACACUACCCUUUUAUAGUAUGUUUUCGCCAAAGAAACUACCUAAGUCAGGGAAUGAAUGAAUUAAAAUAAUAAUAAUAAUAAUGCACGUAUCUGUGAUCACAUGCUGUCCAAGUUGCGACUUACUCUCAACAGCUAAUUGCUUUU